UUUACCCAGUUGGAAGCAUCUCUCUUUAACCGUGUGCUUCUCCUCAAUGGAACUACUACAUUCUCUUCCACGGCUUCUUCUGGCAUCUGGCUUUCUUCACUAGCUUCCUGACCUCCAUGUUGAUCACUUCCCCUUGAGUCAUCUUCACUUUGAACAUGAGAGUCUGCGCUUUGUUGUUGAUUUUCGGCUUCACUUGUUCCUUGAACUUCAGUAUCAGCAGAUUCACUUCCCCCUUCAUGUUCUAAGUGAGAUGAUUCUUCAACUCUAACAGGUGGUGUUGCUUGGCGUUUGUGCUGAUCUGAUGACACUCCAAUACCAAGUCCUUGCAAAAUGUUUCUCAAGCUUGCAGCCCUGUCUGAUGGUUGGGAUAGAUCUUCAAGUUCUUCCCAAUUCUUCCCAUCAUAAUAUCCCUUUUCUUCAAAGAACUUCACCUCCCUUGAUACCAAUACUCUUCUGGUAUUUGGAUCAAAGCAUUUGUAUCCCUUUUGGGACGUAGAGUAUCCAAUCAUCAUAGCCUUGGUACUCUUCCCUUCUAGCUUGUUCCGCAUUUCCCCGGGUACUAGUACAUAGCACACACACCCAAAGAUCCGCAAGUGUUCCAGCACUGGCUUACUCUUGUUGAGAACCUCAAAGGGGGACUGAUCAUUGAGAAUCUUGGUUGGUGUCCUGUUGAUAAGGUAGCUUGCGGUCAUCACUGCAUCACUCCAAUGCCUCUUAGGUACACUUGUAUAGAACAUCAUUGAUCUCGCCACCUCCAUGAGGUGUCUAUUCUUCCUUUCAGCCACUCCAUUUUGCUGGGGUGUAUAAGGACAGCUCGUCUGAUGAAGUAUUCCAUGGCUAGCUAGAUGUUCUUUGAAUGCAUGACUUGUAUACUCCCCACCAUUAUCUGACCUGAAAAUCUUAAUCUUGGCAUUAUAGUGGUUAGUAACAUAGUUUUGAAAGUUUUUAAAUGCAUCAAGAACUCUAUCCUUUGUUUUAAUGAGUGUUAACCAGGUGUAUUUAGAUUUUUCAUCAAUGAAGGUGACAUAAUACUUGUAAUUAUCCCUAGAUAAACAAGGUGCAGUCCAAACAUCAGAGUGGAUUAAGUCAAAACACUUCUCAUAAACUGUAACUGAUCUUUGAAACACACUCUUACAAUGUUUUCCCAAAAUACAAGCUUCACAAUCAUUAUUUUUAAACAUGACACCUGGUAACAUUAUGCUUAAGGCCCUAACAUGUGGAUGUCCUAGCCUAGCAUGCCACAAAGCAUCCUUACUUAAAGAAACCGAGCUAAACGAAAAACAAGAACUAGAGAUAGGAGAGAGAUCUUCAAGCAUGUAAAGGUCUCCCUUAGUUGCUCCUUGGCCAAUCAACUUACUGCUCUUAAUAUCCUGAAACUUCACAUCAUUAGGACUAAAAAUAACAUUGCAAUCAAGAUCAGUAGUGCAUCUCUUGACAGAUAACAAGUUUGAAGUAAAUUCAGGCAUGUAGAAUGCAUUAGACUCUUUAUUAAACAGUUUCAACCUACCAAUGCCUCUAAUAGGAAUUCUAUCACCAUUAGCAAUCAUGACAUGACCUUGGGUAGGUUCUAUAUCCGUAAUCAACCUGUUAUCACUAAUCAUGUGAUGAGAUGCACCAGAAUCAAUGAUCAAAGGUUUAUGUAUAUCCUUAGCUAGAUGACUUCUAGGAUGAUCAGUGUUAUUUUUUAAGUUCUCAAGUACUCCUAAGAGUUUCUUAGCAAUGCUAUGUUCAGUUUUACCUCUCAAGGGAUUCUCUAGUAUGUCUAGCAACCUAUCAGUUCUUCUAGACAUAGUAUGAGCAGCAAAAGAAUAACCAAGAGUAUUGGGUCUUAGUGUGUUACCAGACUCUUUAAGAGCUUUGAUGAGUGCAUCUAUGUCUGACUUCCUGAUCACCUCAUGCUCUAGGUUCUUUCCUCCUGAGUGAUGAGAAGAGAGAGCUCGCCCUUCACUCUCCUUCACUUGUGAGGAUGUACCAGCCCCGGAUGCACUGCCACUGCUUGUCUCGGUGGACAUGUGAGCUCUGGCUUCUCUCUCCUUGUUGAAUUUGCUUGGCUUGAGGUGAGGGUGAAGUAUCCAGCAUUGGCUCUUCUUAUGGCCUGGCUUCUUGCAAUGAUCACAAUUCCCUUCAAAGCGGUCACCAUACUUCCUUCCAUCAUUCUUGUAACCCGCCUUGUUUGCUUGCACAUCCUCAGCCUGAUGAGCCAUUGGUAGCUCCCCCUUUCCUCCAAACAAGCCUAGAGAGCCUUCCUCCUUCUGCAGUUGAGAGCACACCUCCUCCAUUGUUGGUAGGCUUGGCGAUCUCAGCAUGUGCUUUAUGACAUCCUGGUAGCACACGUCUAAGGUCAUCAGCAACCCAAACACUUGAUCCUGCUCUCUCUCCUCUCCAUGAUGAUCUCUUGAUCACUGGUGCUUGGGCGCAGGUUAUCCAGCUCAGACCAAAGAGCUCUGAACUUCCCAAUGUGUGUAGUAAGCUCCACACCACCUUGCAUCAAGGAGGUGAUGGCUUUCUUCAACUCAAACACACGGUUAAGGUUUGAGACAUCUCCAAAUGUCUUCUGGAGCGUCUCCCACAGGUGCUUAGGUGUCUCACAGAAGAUGUAGGCUUCAAGCAGAGGGACUUCAAUCGAACUGUGUAGCACGGACAGCACCAUCAGAUCUUCUUGAACCCAUUUCUUCUUCACCUCAGCUUCAGUGAGUACUUUUCCACCCUCAGCUUCCUCAUUCCCUUUGGCCACUGGCUCUGGACCAUCAUCCGUGAUGUGGUUCCACAACCCUAGCCUCCCAACAGCAGUCUUCACUAGCCGAGACCACAACAAGUAGUUUCCUACACCUUUUAAGGCAACCGGAACCGUAACAAGCUUACUGUAGUUUCCUUCCAUCUUCUCUUUGCCUCUCGUUACUUCUAGUCUUCAAUCUUGUACUUCAGUUGAGUUUCUACCGCACCAGAUCUUCAAGAACACACGGGACCAAAGAACCAAGGGUAAGACACUUCAACACACUAACAAGACUUCCCGGAAGUAUCAAGAACAAACGCAAGAACACAAAGAAGGAAUGAGUAAGAAUCACACAAGGGAACUAAGAUCUCUCAAUACCAAAGCCAACCUGGCUCUGAUACCAUGAGAUUUUAGAGAUUUAAGAAGGUAUUGAGAGAUUAAGAAAGAUUAAAGAGAAGUUUAGUGAAAGAUUUAAACAAGUAUCAUGGUUUGAGAGUGAUUAAGAGACUUUGAGAUUUAAACUAGAGAGAGAGUAGAGAAAGAGUGAUUCAAUCUCGUUAAUUAUUAAUCUGAUGAGGUUACAACUUAUAUAGUAUGAGAGCUUAGGGUUUACAAGGUUUAAAGAUAAGCUAAAGCAUGUGGAGUCAACCAGGAGAGGAGCGCAUAUCAUAAAGCAUCCAAUGAGCUUCUUCCCGCGUGUGAAGCAUCUUGGAUCUUUGACUAGGAUGCUGACAGUCUGUCACAGCCUGGCACAGCCUGUCAGAUGCGCUCCUCAAGCUCUCUCAACGGUCUGAUCCAAGUAGAGCAUGGUAGAAGGUAAGAAUGAUCCGUUUACCCUCCUCUUGGUUAAACGGUCAUGGUAACUUCUUCUUUACCUUGUACGGCCACCUUGUACGGCCUGUCCGUACACUCACAUCCCUAACUUCAUCCUCAAGUCUCUAACCUUCUCUAGCUUCAUAUCACAUAGUUGCAUCACCUCAUUUCAACACUCCCCCUCAAGCUUAACCAUGUGGAACAAGUUAAGCUUGGAAGGACCAUGAGAUCUUCCUCAUUAAAAACCUUACCAAAGAAAACCCAUUUGGGACAAAACUUUGAUAAGGGAAAAAGAGUAAAGACCUCAUGAUCAGGGGACUAUUCUAUGGGUGUAAGAUCAAUGAGUCCUAACCUGAUGUGUAUGGACUCCAUUGUCUUUUGUCUUGCUGCCUUGGUGAAUACAUCCGCUAACUGAUCCUCACUCCUUGUAUAGCAUGGCAAAAUUACUCCCAAAACGAUCAUCUGCCUCACCUUGUGGCAGUCUACUUCAAUGUGCUUGGUUCUCUCAUGGAACACUGAGUUGGAUGCAAUGUGUAUAGCUGCUUGGUUGUCGCAAUGCAUAGUCAUUGGUGUAGCUUGCUCUAUCUCCAAGUGUUUCAAGAUCCCUUUGAUCCACACCAACUCAUUGGUUAGCUUCAGCAUUGCCCUAUACUCAGCUUCAGCACUUGAACAAGAUACUACCUUCUGCUUCUUGCUCUUCCAUGUCACAAGAUUACCUCCAAUGAAUGUACAAUAGCCGGUAGUUGAUCUUCUGUCAGCUCUAUCUCCUGCCCAAUCCGCAUCACAAUAGCCCACCACUUCAGUACUCUUGUUGCAUCCCAUCCAAACUCCAAGGCCUGAUGUUCCGUUCAGAUACAAGAGGAGUCUCUCCACCAUUCGCCAGUGAUGCUCCUUUGGGACUUGCAUAUGCUGGCUCACUUGAUUCACAGCAAAGCAUAUAUCCGGACGUGUGAUGGUAAGGUAGAUGAGCUUCCCUACUAGCUUCCUGUAUAGCUUUGGAUCAUGAAAGACCUUGCUAUCUUCAAUCUCCCCCUCACGUGGAACCUUGUAUCCAUCUUCAAGAGGCAUCCUUGCUGUCUUAUCUCCUUGUAUACCUGCAUCUUUCAAAAGAUCAAGUGUAUACUUCCUUUGGGAAAUGAACAAUCCUUCCUUAGAUCUACACAACUCAAUUCCAAGGAAGUAUUUCAUUUCUCCUAAGUCUUUAAUUUCAAAUACAGAUUUUAAAAACUCCUUGGUGGCUUUUAUCCCAGCCUUAUCAUUACCUGUUAUAAUGAUAUCAUCAACAUACACAAGUAGACAAAUGAUACCUGAGGGUGAAGUAAGUGUGAAGAGAGUAUGAUCCAAUUCUGAUUUCUUGAAUCCACGCCCAUUUAAAGUAGUGCUCAGCUUGUUGUACCAUGCUCUAGGAGAUUGUUUCAACCCAUAGAUAGCCUUCUUGAGUCUCAACACAUUUCCAGGUUUCACAAGAUGCCCUAGGCCUGGUGGUGGAUGCAUAUACACUUCAUCUUCUAGUUCUCCUUGAAGAAAGGCAUUCUUUACAUCCAUCUGCCAAAGCUCCCACUCAAGAUUCACAGCCAGAGAUAAUACAAUUCUUAUUGUAUGGAGCUUAGCAACAGGAGCAAAGGUGUCAAUGUAGUCUUCUCCAUAUGUUUGAGUGUAUCCUCUAGCCACCAGUCUUGUCUUCUUUCUCUCAAUAGUCCCAUCAGGCUUGUACUUGAUGGUGAAUAUCCACUUGCUAGUUACUGCCUUCUUUCCUUUUGGCAGUUCACUUUCAAACCAAGUAUCAUUCUUUAUCAUAGCAUUAGCUUCAUCACCUACUGAUUCUUUCCAGUCUUCAUGUAGCAUUGCAUCUUCAUAUGAUCUAGGCACAUAGCUUCCAUCUAAGCUGAUCAUAAAUGCACAAUGCUCUUCUGGAUAGCACGCAAAAGAACACACAGCUUGAGAGGGAUGCUCCACAGCCUGGGCAUUGUAGUACACUCUCGUGUUUACCCAGUUGGAAGCAUCUCUCUUUAACCGUGUGCUUCUCCUCAAUGGAACUACUACAUUCUCUUCCACGGCUUCUUCUGGCAUCUGGCUUUCUUCACUAGCUUCCUGACCUCCAUGUUGAUCACUUCCCCUUGAGUCAUCUUCACUUUGAACAUGAGAGUCUGCGCUUUGUUGUUGAUUUUCGGCUUCACUUGUUCCUUGAACUUCAGUAUCAGCAGAUUCACUUCCCCCUUCAUGUUCUAAGUGAGAUGAUUCUUCAACUCUAACAGGUGGUGUUGCUUGGCGUUUGUGCUGAUCUGAUGACACUCCAAUACCA
rnacentral:lncRNA from 1 species